GACGAACGCUGGCGGCGUGCCUAAUACAUGCAAGUUGAGCGAUGAAGCUUGGUGCUUGCACCAAUUUGAAGAGCAGCGAACGGGUGAGUAACGCGUGGGGAAUCUGCCUUUGAGCGGGGGACAACAUUUGGAAACGAAUGCUAAUACCGCAUAACAACUUUAAACAUAAGUUUUAAGUUUGAAAGAUGCAAUUGCAUCACUCAAAGAUGAUCCCGCGUUGUAUUAGCUAGUUGGUGAGGUAAAGGCUCACCAAGGCGAUGAUACAUAGCCGACCUGAGAGGGUGAUCGGCCACAUUGGGACUGAGACACGGCCCAAACUCCUACGGGAGGCAGCAGUAGGGAAUCUUCGGCAAUGGACGAAAGUCUGGCCGAGCAACGCCGCGUGAGUGAAGAAGGUUUUCGGAUCGUAAGACUCUGUUGGUAGAGAAGAACGUUGGUGAGAGUGGAAAGCUCAUCAAGUGACGGUAACUACCCAGAAAGGGACGGCUAACUACGUG
rnacentral:rRNA from 1 species